rnacentral:rRNA from 1 species
GACGAACGCUGGCGGCGUGCUUAACACAUGCAAGUCGAACGGAAAGGCCCUGCUUUUGUGGGGUGCUCGAGUGGCGAACGGGUGAGUAACACGUGAGUAACCUGCCCUUGACUUUGGGAUAACUUCAGGAAACUGGGGCUAAUACCGGAUAGGAGCUCCUGCUGCAUGGUGGGGGUUGGAAAGUUUCGGUGGUUGGGGAUGGACUCGCGGCUUAUCAGCUUGUUGGUGGGGUAGUGGCUUACCAAGGCUUUGACGGGUAGCCGGCCUGAGAGGGUGACCGGCCACAUUGGGACUGAGAUACGGCCCAGACUCCUACGGGAGGCAGCAGUGGGGAAUAUUGCACAAUGGGCGGAAGCCUGAUGCAGCAACGCCGCGUGCGGGAUGACGGCCUUCGGGUUGUAAACCACUUUCGCCUGUGACGAAGCGUGAGUGACGGUAAUGGAUAAAGAAGCACCGGCUAACUACGUG